AGAGCGAACGCUGGCGGCAGGCUUAACACAUGCAAGUCGAGCGGGCGUAGCAAUACGUCAGCGGCAGACGGGUGAGUAACGCGUGGGAACAUACCUUUUGGUUCGGAACAACACAGGGAAACUUGUGCUAAUACCGGAUAAGCCCUUACGGGGAAAGAUUUAUCGCCGAAAGAUUGGCCCGCGUCUGAUUAGCUAGUUGGUGAGGUAACGGCUCACCAAGGCGACGAUCAGUAGCUGGUCUGAGAGGAUGAUCAGCCACAUUGGGACUGAGACACGGCCCAAACUCCUACGGGAGGCAGCAGUGGGAAUAUUGGACAAUGGGCGCAAGCCUGAUCCAGCCAUGCCGCGUGAGUGAUGAAGGCCCUAGGGUUGUAAAACUCUUUCGACGGGGACGAUAAUGACGGUACCCGUAGAAGAAGCUCCGGCUAACUUCGCGCCAGCAGCCGC
rnacentral:rRNA from 1 species